rnacentral:rRNA from 1 species
UACGUAGGGGGCAAGCGUUGUCCGGAUUUAUUGGGCGUAAAGAGCGUGUAGGCGGCCAGACAGGUCCGUUGUGAAAACUAGAGGCUUAACCUCUAGACGUCGAUGGAAACCGUCUGGCUAGAGUCCGGAAGAGGAGAAUGGAAUUCCUGGUGUAGCGGUGAAAUGCGCAGAUAUCAGGAAGAACACCCGUGGCUAAGGCGGUUCUCUAGUACGGUACUGACGCUGAGACGCGAAAGCGUGGGGAGCGAACAGGAUUAGAUACCCUGGUAGUCCACGCCGUAAACGAUGGGUGCUAGGUGUGGGGGGUGUCGACUCCCCCCGUGCCGAAGCUAACGCAUUAAGCACCCCGCCUGGGGAGUACGGCCGCAAGGCUAAA